UUUACUCUGCGGUGUUUCGGGAAGUGGAUAAGCAUUUUCCCUUACUCCUUUAAAAACGGGGGCCAAUCAGUGUUCAGCGGCUGCCAAGCCGUAAAUCGGAAGACAAAAGCUGAACCAGAAGUUCCCACCUUUAACACUUGAAGGUAAAAGCUUUCUAAUGUUACCGGCACUGGCGGAGAGAAG
rnacentral:other from 1 species